GACCCACAGGUUGAGAACCGCUAGCAGGGUUGCCUGAGACCAUCGGAAAACACAGAUAUUUACAUGACGACUCAUAACAGUAGCACAAUGACAGUGAUGAAGGAGCAACGAAAAUGAUUUCAUGGCUGGGGGUCACCACAGCAUGAGAAACUGUAUUAAAGGGGCCAGUAUGUUGAGAACCACUGGGU